UAAUACUUUAAAAGUUAAAACAUUAAUGUUGUGGGUAUAAGUGAUGUGUUGUUUUAAGUAUUUUUUUAUGCACAAUUUUUUUAAGUAAGGAUUAGAGCGUCGAAUGUUUAAAAUGUUUGGUCAUAAUUACACAUGGUAUUUACGCAGGUAUCACUCCGCCAGAAAAGUAGAGACCUGUUUAUGUGUUUCGUGUUUCCAAAACAGGAAUGAAUGUUGUUUAUCUUCCUCUUCUAUCGGACUUUUGCUGAUGAGGUAUCACUCCGCCAGAAAAGUAGAGACCUGUUUAUGUGUUUCGUGUUUCCAAAACAGGUAUGUGGAUUUGUGUAUUAUUAUUUUUUUUGUGAUAAAACGUUUUUGUUAAUGUAAUUUAAAUUAUUAUUUUUGUAAGAAUGAAUGUUGUUUAUCUUCCUCUUCUAUCGGACUUUUGCUGAUGAGGUAUCACUCCGCCAGAAAAGUAGAGACCUGUUUAUGUGUUUCGUGUUUCCAAAACAGGUAUGUGGAUUUGUGUAUUAUUAUUUUUUUUGUGAUAAAACGUUUUUGUUAAUGUAAUUUAAAUUAUUAUUUUUGUAUGAAUGAAUGUUGUUUUUCUUCCUCUUCUAUCGGACUUUUGCUGAUGAGGUAUCACUCCGCCAGAAAAGUAGAGACCUGUUUAUGUGUUUCGUGUUUCCAAAACAGGCAUGCGGUAAAUUUAGGACUGCGCUCAGUCUCCUUGGACAUAUCAUCGCUCAUCCAUGCGGACUGGACACUGGCUGAGAGUGGAGUUGGUUGUCUUGGUUGCUUUGUUGGGUCUGCUCCUGUCUCUGGCCAUCCUCCCUCCUCCCCAGCGGACAAUGGCGUGGAACACCACAGAGGCCACCA